GACCACAGCCAGAUCACUCUGCAGUCCAAGACUGGUUACUCACUGAAGCUAAGCAGAAAUGAGCCUGGUCAGUAUCUGGAUGGGAGACCGCAUGGGAAAACUAGGUUGCUGUUGGAA
ensembl:rRNA 5S_rRNA 5S ribosomal RNA